CUAUGCCCCGCAGUAAAACAGAAAGUAAACCGCCCGCCCGCACGACCUCCUCCUCCUCCUCCCGCAGCCGCGCCGUUCGCCUCCCGCAGCCGCGCCCUUCACCGCCUCCUCGCGCCGCCGGAGCCACGGGAAGCGGCCGCGGGUCGCCAGGAGCCUCCCCGACCGCGGGAGCCCGCCCCGCUCCCGCCGCGGCUCGUCGGGAGCCUCCCCUGCCGCCGAAGCCGCCCCGCCGCAGCUUGGCCUCCGCCACUCCGCCACUCCGCCGGAGCGAGUCUCUCUCCUCUUCUCUUGGGAUGGGACGCCUUCUCUCCUCUGCUCCCAGCCGGAUCCAAUCCACCUCGCCCCAGCAUGCAGCCACGGAAGGCCAGGUCCGUGCGCCUCUUUCCCAUGGCCAUGGAGUCGCCGCAGCCGCCAUGGAAUGCCUGGAUGUCGUCAAGAUGCACGCAGGUGCAGCACCUACACCGAUGGCUGCUCUUGAGACACAGACAACAUAGGAGAGGACAAGUCCAGAAUUGCUAGACUGAAUCUAUCCAUCUGCUCUGCUCUCGGGACAACAGAGGAGAGGACGAGUCCAGAAUUGCUUGACUGAAUCUAUCCAUCUGCUCAGCUCAGUUCAUGCAGAGGCUAGAGACAUAGCAAUCGUCAGGCUUCAGUUUUGUACUGACCACUCCAAGGCUUGUUCAACCUGGUGAAUCUUUCCUUCAUCUGCAUCAUUUUUCGCUUCAGUCUGUACAUCCUCGCCCUCCGCACAUCCUCGCCCUCCGCCCGCCGAUCCUAUUCUCCGCCGCCCGCCUUCCUCUGCUCAUCCUCUGCCGCCGCCGAUCUCAUCUGAGCCAGUAAGUUUUCUUUACAUUCAAGUGUGCAUUGUUUGAACAACAUGCUUGUGGUUCUAUUCUUUCCACACAAGAUAAUCUGAUACAUACAUGAUCCUUCUGGUUAUGAUUAUUUUAGUGCAUACAUACAUGAUUCUACCACACAGCAGGAACAAUUAUUCUGGAACAAUUGCCGUAUGUGAAUUAUCAUGAUCCAACGCCAAUGCCACACUCAGCGCCAAAAGGGUUACAGUUUAUGAGGACAUAUUUAAUUAGUGAGGAUUUCAGAAAUUUGUAGUCCAAGCAACUCAUACAUUUGAAGUUUUGUUGCUUACCUUCCCAUCCCAUUGUGUUGCUAUGCUCCUGAAGUUGCCUAACUACAGGAAAGGAGGCCAAAGUUUUGCUAUAUUGGGUUAUCCACAAUAGUAUCGGCAGCGAUGUUUUGUUUUGUCACAACUACUCAAAUAUAUAAUCUAAAUAAUCUAAAUAUAUAAUCUGCACAUUGUAGUUUGAGUUAAAAAAUAGCACAUUGUAGUUUUAAUUUUAUUUUUUUUAAAACCCACGUGUUUUGUUGUUUCAAGAGAUUGAGUCAUGGGCUGUGAGCAAGCAUUAUAUAUUGACAUGAAAGGUAGAUCUAUUUAGAUCAUGAAGGUUUGCGCACCGUGAUGCAAAGGCCGUAUGCAUCGACGAGGCGAAGGUGGGGCUUACCGGGAUGGGUUGAGAGGAGGCAGUGGAGAGAGGAAAUGGGAGAGGCGGAUGGUGAAUAUAGGAGGUGAAAAAGGAUGCAUCUACUUAGUCCUUCUGUUGAAUGCAUAAAAGGCACCCUGCAGCCUCUCUGCUUGCAAAAUAGAUGCUCUCUGCUUGGUACACUCAUGACAUUAAACCUUUCAUCUCCAGUUAGAGAUGCAACUUGAAUUGACCUAAAAAAUUCUAUUUUUGAGUAUUACCUUCUUCCACACCUCUGCAACAUCUUCUGAAGCCUCUACUCUUAACCAGUAUGCUGCUAUCACUUUCUCAAAUUUUAUACGGGAAAAUAAUGUAGUAGUUUUUUUAAAAAAAUUGUGCAAGCUAAUAUGUUUCAAGAUUCAUGAAACAUAUGUUUCAACAUUCAAAAGUUUACAUAAAAACCAUAUGCGGCAAAACUAAAUGACAUUUUGAAAUAUAUAAUUUUGACAGAAUGAAAACAAAUUCAGUUUCCUCUUCCUCCCUAACUACGCAUACUUUAUUUCUACAGGUACAAAUAUUGCCACUCAUCAACAUCUGCAGCAUCUAAGGUCCUUUUCGUCACAUAUUCAUAUUUACUUGAGAUUCUGCUUACUUUGUUUGCACCAUUUAAUAAUUGAGCUUCUCAAUAUUGCAUGAAUAUUUCUAAUGAUGUACGAUGUUCCCCAUUUCUUUAACAUCCCUGGCAUGUGUGUGCUCCAUUAGUGAAUGACAAAUUUCUGAAUUUUUGUGAUGAACAAUGUUUACGUUCGUUUAGGCAGCUCACCGGCAUCCAUCAUGGUUUGCUAUUUUAGAAUUAAUCAAGAUUACCUUUCAGGCUUCUUCCGUUGCCUAGCUAAUUCCCUCCUUGUAGGCCAUGUUGUGGUCUGAAAUUGAACGUAUACAUAUGAUCCUGGUUUUUCUACACCGCCAACUUUACUAUUGAUUAUUCCUAGAACCUUAAGUUGAUCUGAAUAGACAUAGCGAAGUAGAUGCAAACUUCAGGAUAAAAGCAUGUAUAUCAUGGAAUGAUAGGAAGAGGGCUCUGAGCUAGACAUGUUGAUUAUACUGUUUAAUGUUAGCUCCAUCAAUACUGAUACAUAUACAAUUUCCUGUUGUAGAUAGGUAAAUAUUUUGCAAGUAAUGUAAUUUGGUAAAUAAGCUAAAGUAUUAACCUUACUGCUAUCUCAAAGUAUGAUGCGAUUAUUCAGUAUCCAUUGCCUGAUAUAGUCAGUCAGAGGCAUCAAAUCAAAUCUCCCUUAAAUGAUUAAAUCAUUUAACUGCACAUCACAAGUAUCAGCCUCCAUCUGCCACCAAUAUUGCAAGAAACAAGGCAUGCUGAUCUAAUAACCAUCUUUAUAUAUAUUUUUAACCUAACAAGUGAGCUGAUGAUCAGGAAAUCAUGUUUAACUAUCAAUAAAUGAUCCCAUUUCUUGGUUCAGUGAAGUGAUUAUGUGGAUCUUGUGAGGAAAACAGAUAGGCCAAGAAGCCUGGGAGGUUGUCUACAGUCACUGGCCUGGUGGGUUUGAGGCGACACGGGCCUGCCUGGCUCACCUUCGUCUUCUUCCUCGCCCUGCCACACACAGGAACAUAGGAGGGAGCAGCGGAGGGGCGUUGCCGCAACGGGCCGACCGGGCGGGAGGCACCGGCGGGCUCGGGAGGAUGCGUUGCACUCGUCCAGACGGAGAGUAGGCGCCGGGGAAGACCAGGGCAGCCGCGGCUUGAGGCGACAAAGGGCAAGGGCGGGCGGCAGCCGGACUUGGGGGCAGCUGCCACAGGCACUCCGGCGGCGAGAUUGUCACACCGGUGCUGCAUACCACCGUGUGACUGCCAGUUGGCAUGCCAAGUGUAAGCGUGUGUGGUCCCACAUGUAAGCCGCUAGGGCCAGGAGCCAGUAGGUGUGCGUGUGUACUUAAGCCCUGGAGAUGGGCGUGUAUCGCAAGUCUGAAGAAGUAAACUAUUUCCCCUCCUC